rnacentral:rRNA from 1 species
CCUACGGGCGGCAGCAGUGAGGAAUAUUGGUCAAUGGACGAGAGUCUGAACCAGCCAAGCCGCGUGAAGGAUGACUGCCCUAUGGGUUGUAAACUUCUUUUAUAUGGGAGUAAAAUGAUCCACGUGUGGCAUUUUGUAUGUACCAUACGAAUAAGGAUCGGCUAACUCCGUGCCAGCAGCCGCGGUAAUACGGAGGAUCCGAGCGUUAUCCGGAUUUAUUGGGUUUAAAGGGUGCGUAGGCGGAUUGGUAAGUCAGGUGUGAAAGGUUGCGGCUCAACCGUAAAAUUGCAGUUGAAACUGGCAGGCUAGAGUACAGUAGAGGUAGGCGGAAUGCGUGGUGUAGCGGUGAAAUGCUUAGAUAUCAGGAAGAACUCCGAUUGCGAAGGCAGCUCACUGGACUGCAACUGACACUGAGGCACGAAAGUGUGGGGAGCAAACAGGAUUAGAUACCCUUGUAGUC